CUCUGCGGCUGUAAAUCACCAUACAGUCUACUCAGCUGUCACAGCAUACACGGAGCAGGUACAAGUCGUGGCGACUUGCUGUCGCUGUAAGUCCACAGAUAAAUAUCCUGUAAUGGCAUGAAUGCAGGCUUUCGGAAAGGUCAUGCUUUGCUCGGGGGAGGGAGGGGGGAGGUGGAGGAAGAGCGGCGGCUGUUCCAGAGGAUAAAAGCCACCUCGAAACCUGGUGCUUCUCUAUCACAGAAGCUGUGAUAAUGUAUUAAGGACAUUUCUAAGAGAUGAUGUUAGAAAUUCCAAACUGUGGCAGAAGGCCCAGCCAUCCCUGUUCUUUCCUUUUAGAACAGAGUGCAUGAGUAGUUACAGAAAUGAAUGGAAUGGACUUUACAUCUGGAGCUAAAAAGGCAGGGGUCCACGGUGGGUGAGCAUUCCCUACCUUCAACACAGAUGCUAUCACAAAGAUGGAUUCACAGUCAAGGUGGACUUCAAUUCCAGAAUUUAGUUUCUCCUUUAGCUCUCUGCAAGAUUUCAUGUUGGCCGACUGCCUGAAGAUGCCUUUUGUGAGGGGGCCUUUUUGGUUAAGGAAGGAAAGCAUAUCCUGCGAGGAAGCAGAGGAAGUA
rnacentral:lncRNA from 1 species